GACCGCGUAGCUCAGUUGGAAGAGCAUUGGGCUAGUAUUCCAAAGGUCGUAGGUUCGAAUCCCACCGUGGCA
rnacentral:tRNA from 1 species